GCCGACCUCAAGUUACCAGCUCGAUGCUCUCCACACGCCCGCCAUUUAGCGUGGCGAAGAAGUUCGGGAAAUUACACACUAUUUCUAUCAGGAAAUGUGUCUUCUCGCCUGUGGUACCGAGCCGCCAGCUAGCUGCUAGCUAAUGUAAACAACAUGGGUAGCCCGAAGAGAAGAGCGUCCUGGGCUCGGAGGGAAACGCAUGCAGAUAACCGUUAGCGAUCAGUCUGGUUUACACGCUCCCAGGAAGUCGAUGAGAGUCACCGCUGACGUGGGCACGCCGUAGUCUGGCCAGCUGAGGUACUGGAAGUG